rnacentral:rRNA from 1 species
UGCUCCCAGACCGUCAGCGGCGGACGGGUGAGUAACACGUGGGCAACCUGCCUGUAAGACUGGGAUAACUCCGGGAAACCGGGGCUAAUACCGGAUAACUCUUUNCCUCACAUGAGGAAAAGCUGAAAGAUGGCAUCUCGCUAUCACUUACAGAUGGGCCCGCGGCGCAUUAUAUAGUUGGUGAGGUAACGGCUCACCAAGGCGACGAUGCGUAGCCGACCUGAGAGGGUGAUCGGCCACACUGGGACUGAGACACGGCCCAGACUCCUACGGGAGGCAGCAGUAGGGAAUCUUCCGCAAUGGACGAAAGUCUGACGGAGCAACGCCGCGUGAGUGAUGAAGGUUUUCGGAUCGUAAAACUCUGUUGUCAGGGAAGAACAAGUACCGGAGUAACUGCCGGUACCUUGACGGUACCUGACCAGAAAGCCACGGCUAACUACGUGCCAGCAGCCGCGGUAAUACGUAGGUGGCAAGCGUUGUCCGGAAUUAUUGGGCGUAAAGCGCGCGCAGGCGGUUCCUUAAGUCUGAUGUGAAAG